UACGAAGGGGGCUAGCGUUGCUCGGAAUCACUGGGCGUAAAGGGUGCGUAGGCGGGUCUUUUAAGUCAGGGGUGAAAUCCUGGAGCUCAACUCCAGAACUGCCUUUGAUACUGAAGAUCUUGAGUUUGGGAGAGGUGAGUGGAAUUGCGAGUGUAGAGGUGAAAUUCGUAGAUAUUCGCAAGAACACCAGUGGCGAAGGCGGCUCACUGGCCCGAUACUGACGCUGAGGCACGAAAGCGUGGGGAGCAAACAGGG
rnacentral:rRNA from 1 species